GAUGAACGCUGGCGGCGUGCUUAACACAUGCAAGUCGAACGAAGCACUUUUACAGAUUUCUUCGGAAUGAAGUUUUAGUGACUGAGUGGCGGACGGGUGAGUAACGCGUGGGUAACCUGCCUCACACAGGGGGAUAACAGUUGGAAACGGCUGCUAAUACCGCAUAAGCGCACAGUACUGCAUGGUACGGUGUGAAAAACUCCGGUGGUGUGAGAUGGACCCGCGUCUGAUUAGCUAGUUGGCAGGGCAACGGCCUACCAAGGCGACGAUCAGUAGCCGACCUGAGAGGGUGACCGGCCACAUUGGGACUGAGACACGGCCCAAACUCCUACGGGAGGCAGCAGUGGGGAAUAUUGCACAAUGGGGGAAACCCUGAUGCAGCGACGCCGCGUGAGCGAAGAAGUAUUUCGGUAUGUAAAGCUCUAUCAGCAGGGAAGAAGAAAUGACGGUACCUGACUAAGAAGCACCGGCUAAAUACGUGCCAGCAGCCGCCGCGG
rnacentral:rRNA from 1 species